rnacentral:rRNA from 1 species
GCGGCGAACGGGUGAGUAACACGUGGGCAACCUGCCCUCAGCUCUGGGACAACUCCGGGAAACCGGGGCUAAUACCGGAUAUGACCUUUCACCGCAUGGUGGGGGGUGGAAAGUUCCGGCGGUAUGGGAUGAACCCGCGGCCUAUCAGCUUGCUGGUGGGGUAAUGGCCUACCAAGGCGACGACGGGUAGCCGGCCUGAGAGGGUGACCGGCCACACUGGGACUGAGACACGGCCCAGACUCCUACGGGAGGCAGCAGUGGGGAACAUUGCACAAUGGGCGCAAGCCUGAUGCAGCGACGCCGCGUGAGGGAUGACGGCCUUCGGGUUGUAAACCUCUUUCGCCAGGGACGAAGCGCGAGUGACGGUACCUGGAUAAGAAGCACCGGCUAACUACGUGCCAGCAGCCGCGGUAAUACGUAGGGUGCGAGCGUUGUCCGGAAUUAUUGGGCGUAAAGAGCUCGUAGGCGGUUUGUCGCGUCGG